rnacentral:rRNA from 1 species
GACGAACGCUGGCGACGUGCUUAACACAUGCAAGUCGAACGGUGAAAGCGGAGCUUGCUCCGCUGGAUCAGUGGCGAACGGGUGAGUAACACGUGGGCAACCUGCCCCUGACUUCGGGAUAACUCCUCGAAAGAGGUGCUAAUACCGGAUACGAAUCCUGCAGGCAUCAGCGGGAUUGGAAAGUUUUUCGGUCAGGGAUGGGCCCGCGGCCUAUCAGCUUGUUAGUGAGGUAGUGGCUCACCAAGGCGACGACGGGUAGCCGGCCUGAGAGGGAGAGCGGCCACACGGGGACUGAGACACGGACCAGACUCCGACGGGAGGCAGCAGUGGGGAAUAUUGCGCAAUGGGCGAAAGCCUGACGCAGCAACGCCGCGUGAGGGAUGACGGCCUUCGGGUUGUAAACCUCUUUCAGCAGGGAAGAAGCGAAAGUGACGGUACCUGCAGAAGAAGCACCGGCUAACUACGUGCCAGCAGCCGCCGUA